rnacentral:rRNA from 1 species
AUUGAACGCUAGCGGGAUGCUUUACACAUGCAAGUCGAACGGAGUGGAGGACUGGUGUGUAAUAUGUCGGAACGUGCCCAGUAGCGGGGGAUAACUACUCGAAAGAGGGGCUGAUACCGCAUACGACAGAAACGGCCGAUAUGGGAUUAGCGAGUUGGUGGGGUAAAGGCUCACAAAGGCAACGAUCCGUAGCUGGUGUGAGUGGACGACCAGCCAGACAGGGACUGUGACACGGCCCAGAUGCCGACGAGACGCAGCAGUGGGGAAUUUUGGACAAUGGGGGAAACCCUGAUCCAGCCAUCCCGCGUGUAUGAUGACGGCCUUCGGGUUGUAAAGUACUGUUGGCAGAGAAGCGUUAUCUGCAGAAUAAGCACCGGCUAACUACGUGCCAGCAGCCGCGGUAAUUC